GACGUAGGGCGCGAGCGUUGUCCGGAUUUAUUGGGCGUAAACAGCCCGUAGGCGGCUUGUCGCGUCGACCGUGAAAACUUGGGGCUCAACCCCAAGCCUGCGGUCGAUACGGGCAGGCUAGAGUUCGGUAGGGGAGACUGGAAUUCCUGGUGUAGCGGUGAAAUGCGCAGAUAUCAGGAGGAACACCGGUGGCGAAGGCGGUUCUCUGGGCAUUACCUGACGCUGAGGAGCGAAAGUGUGGGGAGCGAACAGG
rnacentral:rRNA from 1 species